rnacentral:rRNA from 1 species
GUGAGGAAUAUUGGUCAAUGGGCGGGAGCCUGAACCAGCCAAGUCGCGUGAAGGAAGAAGGAUCUAUGGUUCGUAAACUUCUUUUGUAGGGGAAUAAAGUGCAGGACGUGUCCUGUUUUGUAUGUACCCUGAGAAUAAGGAUCGGCUAACUCCGUGCCAGCAGCCGCGGUAAUACGGAGGAUCCGAGCGUUAUCCGGAUUUAUUGGGUUUAAAGGGUGCGUAGGUGGUUUGGUAAGUCAGCGGUGAAAGUUUGCAGCUUAACUGUAAAAAUGCCGUUGAAACUGUCGGACUUGAGUGUAAAUGAGGUAGGCGGAAUGCGUGGUGUAGCGGUGAAAUGCAUAGAUAUCACGCAGAACUCCGAUUGCGAAGGCAGCUUACUAAGCUACAACUGACACUGAAGCACGAAAGCGUGGGGAUCAAACAGGAUUAGAUACCCUUGUAGUCC